rnacentral:rRNA from 1 species
AGCCAACUCCCUGAGUGGUGGGGAUGAUUAUUGGGCUUAAAGCGUCCGUAGCUGGCCUAAUUAGUCCCGCGUUAAAUCCAGCGACCUAAUCGUUGGGAUGCGUGGGAUACGGUCAGGCUGGGGGGCGGGAGAGGUUAGCGGUACUCCAGGGGUAGGGGUGAAAUCCAAUAAUCCCUGGCGGACCACCAGUGGCGAAGGCUGCUAACCAGAACGCGCUCGACGGUGAGGGACGAAAGCUGGGGGAGCGAACCGGAUUAGAUACCCGGGUAGUCCCAGCUGUAAACGAUGCGGGCUAGCUGUUGGGGUGGCCAAGAGCCACUUCAGUGGCGCAGGGAAACCAUUAAGCCCGCCGCCUGGGAAGUAUGAUCGCAAGAUUGAAAACUUAAAGGAAUUGGCGGGGAGCACCACAAGGGGUGAAGCUUGCGGUUU